AUGCUCGGGGGAGGUGGGAGGGGUGGCUUGUGCUGUCCCGUAUCCCCUGGAGAGAGUUAUGUAAGCAUGUCAGUCGGUCUCUGUGGAAAAGCCCGGACAUCCAGAUGACACCGAGCAGUUUCAGGACAUAGAAAACCCUCUGAGGCUCCAGAGAGGUGAAACAUGGAAAUGCCUCUAAGCAGUGACUCCAUGACACAGGGGGCCGAACGAGGGGAUUAGCACCCAGGCUGCAUGGCAGGCGGCAGCCCCUUCCCACUCCCAACGCCUUCCACUGCUCCUCUCUGUCCCGAGGGGAUUAGAACCCAGGCUGCGUGGCAGGCGGCAGCCCCUUCCCACUCCCAACGCCUUCCACUGCUCCUCUCUGUCCCGAGGGGAUUAGAACCCAGGCUGCGUGGCAGGCGGCAGCCCCUUCCCACUCCUAAUGCCUUCCACUGCUCCUCUCUGUCCCGAGGGGAUUAGAACCCAGGCUGCGUGGCAGGUCACAGCCCCUUCCCACUCCCAACGCCUUC
rnacentral:lncRNA from 1 species